GACGAACCGUGCGAACGUUGUUCGGAAUCACUGGGCUUAAAGGGCGCGUAGGCGGGCCUCCAAGUCCGGGGUGAAAUCCUCCAGCCUAACUGGAGAAGAGCCUCGGAGACUGGGGGCCUCGAGGGAGGUAGGGGCGUGCGGAACUAUGGGUGGAGCGGUGAAAUGCAUUGAUAUCCAUAGGAACUCCGGUGGCGAAGGCGGCACGCUGGACCUCUUCUGACGCUGAGGCGCGAAAGCCAGGGGAGCAAACGGGG
rnacentral:rRNA from 1 species